rnacentral:rRNA from 1 species
UGGGGGAUAUUGCACAAUGGGCGAAAGCCUGAUGCAGCGACGCCGCGUGGGGGAUGAAGGCUUUCGGGUUGUAAACCUCUUUCGCUAUCGAACAAGGCCCGCUUAGGGUGGGUUGAGGGUAGGUGGAGAAGAAGCGCCGGCUAACUACGUGCCAGCAGCCGCGGUAAUACGUAGGGCGCGAGCGUUGUCCGGAAUUAUUGGGCGUAAAGGGCUUGUAGGCGGCUUGUUGCGCCUGCUGUGAAAACGCGGGGCUUAACUUCGCGCGUGCAGUGGGUACGGGCAGGCUUGAGUGUGGGAGGGGUGACUGGAAUUCCAGGGGUAGCGGGGGAAUGCGGAGAUAUCUGGAGGAACACCGAUGGCGAAGGCAGGUCAAUGGGACAGUACUGACGCUGAGGAGCGAAAGCAUGGGUAGCGAACAGG